rnacentral:rRNA from 1 species
GAUGAACGCUGGCGGCGUGCCUAAUACAUGCAAGUCGAGCGAACAGACGAGGAGCUUGCUCCUCUGACGUUAGCGGCGGACGGGAGAGUAACACGUGGAAACUCUCCCUAUAAGACUGGGAUAAUUUCGGGAAACCGGAGAUAACACCGUAUAAUCUAUUGCACCGUAGGGUUCAAUAGUGAAAUACGGUUUUGCUGUCACUAAUAGAUGGAUUCGCGCGGGAUGAGCGAGUUGGUAAGGUCAAGGCUUAUCAAGGGGACGGUGCGUAGCCGACCUGAGAGGGUGAUCCGCCACUCAGGAGGUGAGACGCCGCCCUGACUCCGACGGGAGGCAGCAGUAGGUAAUCUUCCGAAAUGGGCGAAAGCCUGACGGAGCGACGGCGCGUGAGUGAAGAAGCGCUGCGGAUCGUAAAACGCUGUUAGUAGGGAAGAACAAAUGUGUAAGUAACUAUGCGCGUCUGGACGGUACCUGAACAGAAAGCCACGGCUAACUACGU